rnacentral:lncRNA from 1 species
UUGUAUUAAUUACAGUUAAGAAACUUAACCAAAAAAAGUCAAAUGAUAUUAUCAAUAAACUCCUUUCCUUAAUCAACCAGACAACAAAUUGAGCACGCAAGCAUUCAAAUCCAUCUCAUUUGUUGAACCAAAACAGCACAGAUGUCUAGCAUACACCACACCUACACAGGAUCAGCACCCAGUAAAGCAUAAUCAGUUUAUCCCUUAAUUAUCGC